UGGGCGUGACUUUCUGUAAAUCUUGGACACUCGCGUUGUUCGCGUAUUAUCUCCUCAUUUCUUGUCAUAUCUCCUAUUGGACUCUGAUGUUUAAGUUGUGCGGUGAUGACAAGCACUUUCACUUUUAAAGUAACAGUCGCAAAACCUGGACGAAUCGUGUGAAGUGCUUCAUAAAGCCUGUUUUCCUCCGGACCAGUCUUCUAGGUUUUCUCAGCCAGAGGCUCUUUGAUAAUGUUGGAGUGUUUAUUGACGAUCUUUCUGGGCUUUAUCUCCGUGCUGCUGUUCUGCGCUUUCUGCGGACGCAGAAGGAAGGACGGUGAGCCGCCGCUGAUUAAAGGCUGGAUUCCAUUCAUGGGAAAAGCUUUAGAAUUCAGAAAAAACUCUCAGCAGUUUCUUACACAACUGCAGCAGGAGCAUGGAGAUAUUUUUACUGUACUUAUAGCAGGAAGGUACAUAACAUUCAUAAUGAACCCCCUCCAGUACCCGUCUGUGAUCAAACAUGGAAAACAGCUGGAUUUUCACACGUUUUCAGACAGCGCAGCAUCCAGGACGUUUGGUUACCCACCGGUCCUGAGUGGCCUCUUCCCUGGAAUGAAUGACAGCCUCAAGCGGAGUUACACUCUGCUGCAGGGGCCUGCCCUCGACCCGCUCAUGUUCAGCAUGAUGGGAAACUUACAGCAGGUCCUGCGACGCCGUUUUCUGCCCAGUGAAGCGUCUGGGUCUGAUGGCGACUGGCAAGAGGCGGAACUAUAUGAGUUCUGUAAAUGCGUAAUGUUUCAGACCACAUUUAACACGCUAUAUGGACAUUCGUCAAAUCUGCAUCUGGAUCAGCUGCGAGAGGACUUUGAGAAGUUCGAUGCCAUUUUCCCUUUACUAAUGGCCUGUGUUCCCAUCGCCUUGCUGGGAAAGACCAAAGAAAUUCGUGAGAAGCUGACAAGAUUUUUCCAUCCUCAAAGAAUGGCAGAAUGGAGGGCUCCAUGCGAGUUCAUACAGACCCGAACGGCCCUGUUCCAGGAGUAUGACACGCUUCAGGACAGAGAUAAAGCAGCACAUCAUUUUGCCAUGCUGUGGGCAUCAGUGGGAAACACUAUCCCAGCAGCCUUCUGGUGUCUUUACCACCUCAUCUCCUGCCCGGAAGCCCUUGAAGCAGUGAGAGCAGAGAUUGUCAAUGUGGUUGGAGAGAAGAACAUGCAGUUGGUCUUUGAAGAAGACAUCACAAUUACACGACAGCAACUAGAACAGAUGGUUUACCUGGAGAGUUCAGUAAACGAGAGUUUACGUCUCUCCUCUGUAUCAAUGAACAUCCGUGUGGUUCAGGAAGAUUUCUAUUUGCGUCUGGAUGCCCAGCAUUCAAUCAACGUACGAAAAGAUGACAUUGUUGCUCUUUACCCACAAACCACACACCUUGACCCUGAAAUAUACGAUCAGCCUCAGCGCUUCCAAUUUGACCGUUUUGUGGAGGAUGGGAAGGAAAAAACAGAUUUUUAUAAAUGUGGCCAGAAGGUCCGGUACUACCGUAUGCCUUUCGGCUCUGGAGCCACACAGUGUCCAGGGCGGUUUUUUGCGAUGAAUGAGCUGAAGCAGUUUGUGUGUGUGGCCUUGCUCAUGUGGGAAAUGCAGUGGCUGGAGAACCAGCAGGAGGCGAUGCUAGACAACAGCCGUGCUGGUCUGGGCAUCAUGCCACCUGCUAAUCAAAUCACUUUCAGAUACAGAACUAGAAAACCAGGGGACAGUAUGAAGAGGGAUGAAUUAACUAAAUGAAUAGAGAGUGACUGUCGUCUGGUCAGUGCUUGUGUAUUUUCCUUUCAUUUUUUCACAGGUAUACACUGCAGUUUGAAUCAGGGUUGAUGCAUUACAGUGAACAGCUUUCUUUGUAUAGUAUCUCACAGAAGCGAGUACACCCCUCACAUUUUUGUAAAUAUUUUAUUAUAUCUUU